CAGCCGCCGCGGUAAUACGUAGGUCCCGAGCGUUGUCCGGAUUUAUUGGGCGUAAAGCGAGCGCAGGCGGUUAGAUAAGUCUGAAGUUAAAGGCUGUGGCUUAACCAUAGUACGCUUUGGAAACUGUUUAACUUGAGUGCAAGAGGGGAGAGUGGAAUUCCAUGUGUAGCGGUGAAAUGCGUAGAUAUAUGGAGGAACACCGGUGGCGAAAGCGGCUCUCUGGCUUGUAACUGACGCUGAGGCUCGAAAGCGUGGGGAGCAAACAGGAUUAGAUACCCUAGUAGUCCCUGUCUCUUAUACA
rnacentral:rRNA from 1 species